rnacentral:rRNA from 1 species
CAGUCGCCGCGGUAAUACAGAGGGUGCAAGCGUUAAUCGGAAUUACUGGGCGUAAAGCGCGCGUAGGUGGUUUGUUAAGUUGAAUGUGAAAUCCCCGGGCUCAACCUGGGAACUGCAUCCAAAACUGGCAAGCUAGAGUAGGGCAGAGGGUGGUGGAAUUUCCUGUGUAGCGGUGAAAUGCGUAGAUAUAGGAAGGAACACCAGUGGCGAAGGCGACCACCUGGGCUCAUACUGACACUGAGGUGCGAAAGCGUGGGGAGCAAACAGGAUUAGAUACCCCGGUAGUCCCUGUCUCUUAUAA